rnacentral:misc_RNA from 1 species
GUGAAUCAUCGAAUCUUUGAACGCAAAUUGCACUCUCCGGUUUUCCGGGAGAGUAUGCCUGUUUGAGGGUCAGCCUAAAAAAAAUCGACAUUGUUGCUGUUAUUUAAUGGUGACUUUCGUCGGAGAUUGGGUUAUCUUAAACCUUUUUUUUUUUUUGGUUUAGGCGAUUUAAAUUUUUUUUUCCCGUUUCCUUGAAGUUUUCUAGAUUUUUUAUUUCUUUUCGUUUUAAGUUUUUUCG